CCUACGGGGGGCAGCAGUAGGGAAUUUUCCGCAAUGGGCGCAAGCCUGACGGAGCAACGCCGCGUGAGGGAUGAAGGUUUUCGGAUCGUAAACCUCUGUCUUCAGGGACGAUAAUGACGGUACCUGAGGAGGAAGCCACGGCUAACUACGUGCCAGCAGCCGCGGUAAUACGUAGGUGGCGAGCGUUGUCCGGAAUUACUGGGCGUAAAGGGCGUGUAGGCGGCCUUUUAAGUCAGAUGUGAAAUCUCAGGGCUUAACCCUGAAACUGCAUUUGAAACUGGAGGGCUUGAGGAUCGGAGAG
rnacentral:rRNA from 1 species